rnacentral:sRNA from 1 species
UAACAUGUCGAUGGGACCCGGUGUACCAC